UUGGUACCAAGACAACCCCAUUUAUCCCAGACAAGACUACUCAGCUUUAAGAAAAGUGCAGACUCAGCUGGGAAGAGGAAUUACUGCCAAGGCAGAAGUGCAUUGGCUCCGGCUCUUAGUGUGUUCUCCUGUGACUCCUCCAAACAACUUGCCCUGAAUCCAGUCCAGCCUCAGGUAGGCCCUUCAGGAGGUAUUCCCAAAGAAGGCAUUGCUAUCCAGGAAGAUGACAGCUCCACGCCUGUUACUGCCACCGAAGAGCUUCCAGUAGGACGAGAUGUGGAGGUGGAAGUCAGUGAUACUGACCAUCCUGACUCUAUGAUAAAAUAGGGUCCAGAAGAACAAAUGGCUUGUCCAGGCCCCUGAACCAGGUUUCCGCAAAACAUGCCUCAUGUGUGUUGGUGCUUCUGAUUAACUGUUGGGACCUUCCCCAAGUUCUUCCCUGACACUGAGGCCCACUACUAGUUGCCACUAUGUGAAAGCUUUCUGCAAAUAGUAAGUUACUGUCAGAGAACAAUAACCUCGAUGAAGCUGCUUUCAUGGGGCUGCUUGAAUAUCUGGUGAAACCAUUUGAUCUUCAAGGAAGGGGCAGAGAUUGGGGAAAAGUCUUCAAGGCACAUGCAUACCACGCUAUUGUUUUCCAUUGAGCCCUAUCCUCAUUUUGCUGGUGUCGUGCAUUUCUGCUGUUGCCUGAGAAGCAUCUCUUUACCUCACUUUAAGAGUAUGAACUUUGAAUGUAUGAGGUUAGAUUACGAAAAAUAUCACUACCUAUAGAACCUAUUCUUUUAAAGGGUAACACACAUCCAACUGCCCUAAUUUAGAC
rnacentral:lncRNA from 13 species